AACGAACGCUGGCGGCAUGCCUAACACAUGCAAGUCGAACGAGAUCUUCGGGUCUAGUGGCACACGGGUGCGUAACGCGUGGGAAUCUGCCCUUUGGUUCGGAAUAACAGUUGGAAACGACUGCUAAUACCGGAUGAUGACGAAAGUCCAAAGAUUUAUCGCCAGAGGAUGAGCCCGCGUAGGAUUAGCUAGUUGGUGUGGUAAAGGCGCACCAAGGCGACGAUCCUUAGCUGGUCUGAGAGGAUGAUCAGCCACACUGGGACUGAGACACGGCCCAGACUCCUACGGGAGGCAGCAGUGGGGAAUAUUGGACAAUGGGCGAAAGCCUGAUCCAGCAGUGCCGCGUGAGUGAUGAAGGCCUUAGGGUUGUAAAGCUCUUUUACCCGGGAUGAUAAUGACAGUACCGGGAGAAUAAGCUCCGGCUAACUCCGUGCCAGCCGCCGCGGUAA
rnacentral:rRNA from 1 species